GACGAACCGUCCUAACGUUGUUCGGAAUCACUGGGCUUAAAGGGCGCGUAGGCGGGUCGCCAAGUCUGGGGUGAAAUCUUUCGGCUUAACCGGAAAAUAGCCUCGGAUACUGGCGAUCUCGAGGGUGGUAGGGGCAUGUGGAACUUCCGGUGGAGCGGUGAAAUGCGUUGAUAUCGGAAGGAACGCCGGUGGCGAAAGCGACGUGCUGGACCACUACUGACGCUGAGGCGCGAAAGCCAGGGGAGCAAACGGG
rnacentral:rRNA from 1 species